rnacentral:misc_RNA from 1 species
AGCAGCCGCGGUAAUUCCAGCUCCAAUAGCGUAUAUUAAAGUUGUUGCAGUUAAAAAGCUCGUAGUUGAAUUUCGAGAUCAAAUUGUUGGUCGUGCCUUGGUACGCACUGGCAUUAUUGGUUUCUCCCUUCUGACGAAUCAUGAUGUCAUUAAUUUGGUGUCUUGGGGAAUCAGGACUGUUACUUUGAAAAAAUUUAGAGUGUUUAAAGCAGGCUCACGCUUGAAUACAUUAGCAUGGAAUAAUGAAAUAGGACGUUUGAUUCUAUUUUGUUGGUUUCUAGGAUCGACGUAAUGAUUAAUAGGGAUAGUUGGGGGCAUUAGUAUUCAAUUGUCAGAGGUGAAAUUCUUGGAUUUAUUGAAGACUAACUACUGCGAAAGCAUUUGCCAAGGAUGUUUUCAUUAAUCAGGAACGAAAGUUAGGGGAUCGAAGACGAUCAGAUACCGUCGUAGUCUUAACCAUAAACUAUGCCGACUAGGAAUCAGACGAUGUUAAUUUUUUUAAUGACUCGUUUGGCACCUU